rnacentral:lncRNA from 1 species
GCGGCUGUGGGGCGGCUGUGGGGCGGCUGUGGGGCGGCUGUGGGGCACUUAUGGGGCAGCUAUGGGGCGGCUGUGGGGCACUUAUGGGGCAGCUAUGGGGCGGCUGUGGGGCACUUAUGGGGCAGCUGUGGGGCAGUUGUGGGGCGGCUAUGGGGCGGCUAUGGGGCGCACUUCUUGAGGAACUUGGAGGCCAGCGAGGUGAACUUCCCCUCCUCCUCGUCCGACUCCGAAUCCGUCCCCGACCCCGAGCUGCCCCACUCCUCCGAGUCCGACGCCUCCGAGUCCUCCGAGUCCUGGACAAACGCAGACAAACCCCAGAAAAACCCCAGAAAAACCCCAUAGCAUCCCACAUGGACCCAUAGGGACACAUAGGAUCCCAUAGAGACCCAUAGAAUCCCAUAGAGACCCCAUAGGGACCCCAAAGCUCCCCACACUCCUCUGAGUCCUGGGAUCCAAAAACCCCAUAAAAACCCCAUAGGAUCCCACAUGGACCCAUAGAGACCCAUAGAGACCCAUAGAGACCCAUACAAUCCCAAAGGGACCCCAUAGGGACCCCAAAGCUCCCCCCACUCCUCUGAGUCCGACACCUCCGAGUCCUGGCACCAAAAACCCCAUAAAAACCCCAUAAGAUCCCACAUGGACCCAUAGAGACCCAUAGAGACCUAUAGAAUCCCAUAGAGACCCCAUAGAGACCCCAAAGCUCCCCCCACUCCUCCCAGUCCGACGCCUCCGAGUCCUGGCACCAAAACCCCAUAAAAACCCCAUGGGAUCCCAUAGGCACCGUAACCAAAGCUUCCCUCAUUCCCCUGAGUCCUGGGACCUGAAAACCCCAUAAAACCCCAUAGAGACCCACGGGAGCCCUAAAGAACCCCAUAAAAACCCCAUAAAAUCCCACAGCAUCCCAGACAGACGCCAUAAGGACCCAUAAAACCCCACAGAGCCCCACAGCGACCCCAUAGGGAGCCCUGCAGACCCACAGAGACCCCGACCCCCUCCUGCCCCUCAAAUUGCCCCACAACUGCCCCCCAUCUGCCCCCCAAUUGCCCCCCCACACCCCCAACUGCCCCCCAACUGCCCCCCAAGUGCCCC